GAUCAUGGCUCAGGAUGAACGCUGGCGGCGUGCUUAACACAUGCAAGUCGAACGAAGCACUUUACUUGAUUUCCUUCGGGGAUGAUUGUCCUGUGACUGAGUGGCGGACGGGUGAGUAACGCGUGGAUAACCUGCCUCACACAGGGGGAUAACAGUUGGAAACGACUGCUAAUACCGCAUAAGCGCACAGCACCGCAUGGUGCAGUGUGAAAAACUCCGGUGGU
rnacentral:rRNA from 1 species